rnacentral:ncRNA from 1 species
UCCCCGAUUGAUUCUGUCGGCGGUUAUAUGCUUGUCUCACAGGCUAAGCCAUGCAUGUCUAAGUUCAAAUAAACCUAUAAUGGUGAAACCGCGAACGGC